AUUGAACGCUGGCGGCAGGCCUAACACAUGCAAGUCGAGCGGAGCGGCGGACGGGUGAGUAAUGCCUAGGAAUCUGCCUGGUAGUGGGGGAUAACGUCCGGAAAAGGGCGCUAAUACCGCAUACUAUCAGAUGAGCCUAGGUCGGAUUAGCUAGUUGGUGGGGUAAAGGCCUACCAAGGCGACGAUCCGUAACUUGUCUGAGAGGAUGAUCAGUCACACGGGGACUGAGACACGGGCCAGAAUGCUACGGGAGGCAGAAGUGGGGAAUAUUGGACAAUGGGCGACAGCCUGAUGCAGCCAUGCCGAGUGUGCGAAGAAGGUCUUAGGAUUGUAAAGAACUUUAAGUUGGGAGGCGUUACAAACAGAAUAAGCACCGGCUAACUUCGUGCAAGAAGCCGCGGUAAUUC
rnacentral:rRNA from 1 species